rnacentral:rRNA from 1 species
CCCUUAGAUGUUCUGGGCCGCACGCGCGCUACACUGAUGCAUUCAACGAGUCUAAAACCUGCUCUGAUAGGGGUGGGUAAUCUUUUGAAUGUGCAUCGUGAUUGGGAUAGAUGAUUGCAAUUUUUCAUCUUCAACGAGGAAUGCCUAGUAAACGCAAGUCAUCAGCUUACAUUGAUUACGUCCCUGCCCUUUGUACACACCGCCCGUCGCUCCUACCGAUUGAAUGAUCCGAUGAAUAUCAUGGAUUGAGGAUGCAAGCAGGUUCGCCUGUCUUCAUCUUCGAGAAGUGAAGUAAAUCUUAUCAUUUAGAGGAAGGAGAAGUCGUAACA